UACGUAGGUGGCAAGCGUUGUCCGGAUUUAUUGGGUUUAAAGGGUGCGUAGGCGGUCUUAUAAGUCAGUGGUGAAAUACGGCAGCUCAACUGUCGAGGUGCCAUUGAUACUGUAGGACUUGAGUACAGACGAGGUAGGCGGAAUUGACGGUGUAGCGGUGAAAUGCUUAGAUAUCGUCAAGAACACCGAUAGCGAAGGCAGCUUACUAGGCUGUAACUGACGCUGAGGCACGAAAGUGUGGGGAUCAAACGGG
rnacentral:rRNA from 1 species